rnacentral:rRNA from 1 species
CCUGUUUUACAAAAACAUGUCUUUUUGAGUUAUUUUUAAAGUCUGACCUGCCCACUGAAGUUAUUUAAAUGGCCGCAGUAUUUUAACUGUGCAAAGGUAGCAUAAUCAUUAGUCUUUUAAUUGAAGGCUGGUAUGAACGGUUGGACGAGGUAUAAGCUGUUUCAUAUAAAUUUAUAAUAGAAUUUUAUGUUUUAGUUAAAAAGCUAAAAUAUAAUUAAAAGACGAGAAGACCCUAUAAAUCUUUAUACUUUAUGUUUUUUAAAUUUUUUAGAUUAUAUUUUAUUUUUAAAAUUUGAAGUAUUUUGUUGGGGUGAUGUUAAAAUUUAAUGAACUUUUAAUUAUUUAAAAUCAUUAAUUUAUGAUUUAUUGAUCCAUUAAUAGUGAUUAUAAGAUUAAGUUACUUUAGGGAUAACAGCGUAAUUUUUUUGGAGAGUUCAUAUCGAUAAAAAAGGUUGCGACCUCGAUGUUGGAUUAAGAUAUAUUUUUAGGUGUAGCUGCUUAAAU